AACAUGUUUUUUAGUUUAUGUUUUUAAACGUUUUGUUUAAACCAAACACGUGUAUAAUUUAUGUUUUUCUAAAAAUAAACAAAAACUAAUUUAUAAAAAAAUUAUAAUCAUAAACUAAAAAGGUAAACGUUAUCAAACACUACCUUAAAUUUUCAUUUGGGACCACAAAAACCAAGGCGCCAAAAUGAAAAUUAAUAAGCGCCAAAUAAGAACAUAAGCAAUUUUCAACACCGAAAGAAGUUAAAAUAUUAGAAUAGGAAAACCCUAUCUCUUUCUCUCAAUCGGCAAUCUUUGCACUAGUUUCUAGGGUUCUAGUCUCCACACUCAUACUUGCAUACACAAAAAUGGAGCAUCAGUUUUCACAGAUUAGACACAGCCGUUAAUCGAUCUCAACCUCGGCUUGGAAUCUAAAGAGAGAAAGUAUGGUGAAGGAUGGAUCGGAGAGAGAACGGGGGGCUAUCGACAAUGGAUUCGAUUGAAUCUCGAUCGGUAUUUUAGGACGAGGACAAGUCAGAGAUCGAGGACGAGGAGGAUGAUGAAGAUUUGCCACCUCGAAUUCCGAGCAAAGAUUCAUUCGGCAGGCUCUCAGAUCGAUUCCUUCGAUGUCAAAGCACUUGAGGUCUCCGGAGCACAACAGAACGACUUUGAGGUAAAUUUCUGGAGCUAAUUUGGUUUAAUAUGGAUUGUGUUAGGUAUAUAUAAUAUGGAUUUACAGUUUUUAUAUCAGAGUUGUUGUAAGAUUGUGGGUUUUGAUAAUUGCACUAUGCUAUACAAUAUAGGUGUUCGUUUUUACUGUAGGAUUGCUUGGAGAACCUAAGAAACAAAUGGAAAUGUAUCAAUUUUUAGAUCUAUGAUGUGAUGGUAACUCAAAAGAAAACCUAAUUAUUCAAUUUUGAUUCUUAUCUAUCCAUUGUUUUAAAUAUUUAUUUAUUUUUAACCUUGAUCACUUUUUAGUGAUAUUUAGUAAUUAUUUUUUGAGUUGAAUGACUUCCUAAAAAGUUAAUAAUUGUGUAUAGUGCGAAUAUAUUCUAUUCUAUUAAUAUGAUUACCAAAUUAUAAUAUUUCAGUCCUAUUGUUUUAGAAGUUUUUACAUUUCGAUUCUUGGGGAUGGUAGUCAGGUAAUAUUGCAAUCAAUUCACUCUUCAUGUUUGAUUAUAAGUUUCAAAGGAAAAGCUAGUAGUUUGUAUGUCUCUUCUGAAUUUUCUCCAACCUAGAAGGUUAAGUUUCUUAUAUUCGAUCGGAAUUUUAGGUUGACAUUUAAAGUUUUAAAGUUUUUAUUUUUUAUUUAAAGUUUUUAAGUUGACAUUUUGUUAAUCACUGUAUUGUUGCAACUGAAUUUUUAUCAUGGACUUUGAAUUUUUUUCUACUUAAAGGUUGUAGGAAUUUUCAAGAUGGUGGUCCUUCCAAUCCUAGGCCAACUUGCUGGUGAGUAUGGGCGAAAACCACUGCUCAUUCUCACUUUAUCUACAACUAUAGUCCCUUUUGGUAUGUUUCUAUGAACAUUUGUACAUAGACCAAAACUUUAUGUUGAAGAAUCCCAACUGCAUUUGAUGUUGGUAUCUGCAUUUAGCUGUGAAAAUUUCCUUUGGUAUAAACUAGAGUGGUGAUACUUGAAAGCUAAGAAUCACAGAUAUUUCUAUAGAAGAGGUUUGUCGUGUUGUACGUGUAUAUUGGACGUGACACUUAUGUAUAUUAAUGUUCUGCAAUUAUUUUCCAUUUUAUAGUGCAAUUGUUUCAUGUUGUUACAUGAAUGAUGAUUUUUAAGUUAUGGAAUAUAUGGCAUUUUAAUUUUAACUAAUGUCAUGUUGCUUUUAUUUUACUUUUGAACAAGCGUCGUAGGCGUAUCAUGUCCGGCAUUUUUUUUUUUGGAAAUCGUCGUGUCGGCAUGUCGCACAAGACAUCACCAACAUGCUCCUUGGUUGCACAAGGCACUGAAGAUUGUCAAGGAAUGAUACAAUUCAAUGAGGCAUGCAACAACUAUUGUUGUAAGCAGUACUAUCUGAAGGCAGCCUUUGGUUUCAAGACAUGCAAUUGUUAUUAAAGUCCCUUUGCUACCUCUGCAGUACUAUCUGAAGGCAGCCUUUGGUUUCAACAAAAAUCAAUUUUCAGAAAUUCUGAUGACGGUGGGAAUAGGAUCAAUUGUUUCCCAGGUAUUCUUUCUAAAGAUCAUUUUCUUUUCUUUUGUUACUUUAACGGAAGGAGCCCAUUAACUCUACUAUUUGAAAUGUUCUUCAAAUCUAUAGUUUCUUUACUCACCAUAUGUUUCUUAUCAUGGCAUUGUUUCAAGAUUUUGAUUCUUCCUCUCAUCAAUCCAUUUGUUGGAGAGAAACUGAUACUUUGCACAACCUUAUUUUCAUCAAUAGCUUAUGUGAGUUGUCCUUUAUUUACUUAAUUUAAGUCCUUGCAGCUCUGGACUUAAUCAUAGUCGAAAGUAUGUAUAAAUUUUAUCUCA